rnacentral:rRNA from 1 species
ACAGUGUCUGGUGGGUAGUUUGACUGGGGCGGUCUCCUCCUAAAGAGUAACGGAGGAGCACGAAGGUUGGCUAAUCCUGGUCGGACAUCAGGAGGUUAGUGCAAUGGCAUAAGCCAGCUUGACUGCGAGCGUGACGGCGCGAGCAGGUGCGAAAGCAGGUCAUAGUGAUCCGGUGGUUCUGAAUGGAAGGGCCAUCGCUCAACGGAUAAAAGGUACUCCGGGGAUAACAGGCUGAUACCGCCCAAGAGUUCAUAUCGACGGCGGUGUUUGGCACCUCGAUGUCGGCUCAUCACAUCCUGGGGCUGAAGUAGGUCCCAAGGGUAUGGCUGUUCGCCAUUUAAAGUGGUACGCGAGCUGGGUUUAGAACGUCGUGA